rnacentral:rRNA from 1 species
AACGAACGCUGGCGGCAGGCCUAACACAUGCAAGUCGAGCGAAGCCUUCGGGCUUAGCGGCGGACGGGUGAGUAACGCGUGGGAACGUGCCCUUUGGUACGGAAUAGCCCCGGGAAACUGGAGUAAUACCGUAUGUGGUCGAGAGACGAAAGAUUUAUCGCCAAAGGAUCGGCCCGCGUUGGAUUAGGUAGUUGGUGGGGUAAUGGCCUACCAAGCCGACGAUCCAUAGCUGGUUUGAGAGGAUGAUCAGCCACACUGGGGACUGAGACACGGCCCAGACUCCUACGGGAGGCAGCAGUGGGGAAUCUUAGACAAUGGGGGAAACCCUGAUCUAGCCAUGCCGCGUGAUCGAUGAAGGCCUUAGGGUUGUAAAGAUCUUUCAGUGGGGAAGAUAAUGACUGUACCCACAGAAGAAGCCCCGGCUAACUCCGUGCCAGCCGCCGCCGUAAGAC